UACGUAGGGUGCAGGCGUUAAUCGGAAUUACUGGGCGUAAAGCGUGCGCAGGCGGUCUGCUAAGAGAGAUGUGAAAUCCCCGGGCUUAACCUGGGAACUGCGUUUCUAACUGGCAGGCUUGAGUGUGGCAGAGGGGGGUGGAAUUCCACGUGUAGCAGUGAAAUGCGUAGAGAUGUGGAGGAACAGCCGAUGGCGAAGGGAGCAGCCCCCUGGGCUAACCACGUGCACCUGAGGCACGAAAGCGUGGGGAGCAAACAGG
rnacentral:rRNA from 1 species